rnacentral:rRNA from 1 species
GACGUAGGGCGCGAGCGUUGUCCGGAUUUAUUGGGCGUAAAGAGCUCGUAGGCGGCUUGUCGCGUCGACCGUGAAAACUUGGGGCUCAACCCCAAGCCUGCGGUCGAUACGGGCAGGCUCGAGUUCGGUAGUGGAGACUGGAAUUCCUGGUGUAGCGGUGAAAUGCGCAGAUAUCAGGAGGAACACCGAUGGCGAAGGCAGGUCUCUGGGCCGAUACUGACGCUGAGGAGCGAAAGCGUGGGGAGCGAACAGG